CAGAAGACCGGCUCGCUGCACCUCCACCGGCGGCUGCGACGAGGGGACGGACUCCAGCGGCAAGGGCACGGUCUCAGGCGGCGGCUCCGGUGAGAGAGGGACGAGCUCGAGGGUGAGGGGAACGAGCGAGAGAGACGACGGUGGGAGGAAAGGGAGACGAGCGAUAGAGGCUACCCCGCGUGAGUCGUACAAUUCCACCGGCUCACACGGACCGCGUUUCAGGCUUUUUUUGGCCCAUGGUGACCACGCCCCGCAGCCAAACGCGAGCGAAUGUAGUUUUGGGCCACUUGGCACCGCGCGGGGCGGCCCGACCCUAUGAACCCAACACACCGUAAAAAAACCAAAUGAGAUCUCGCCCCGAUCAUCGCUACGUCAAACUCUCACAUCAUUGCAACAUUUUUCUCACGACCGUAUGAGAGACUUUAAAAAGUGUUGCAGCAUUCCAAACACAUGUUUGAAGCAAUUUUGUUAGUGCAUGCAACAAAUCCUCAUUUUGUUAUAACAAAAACAUAGAAUGAUGCGGCCACACGUGCAACAUAAAAUACAGUCGAAUGUAGCAUAAUGAAAACAACUCAUGAGCUCAUUAAAGGGCGCAUUUGCUACACAAAAACAACCGUUUGGAACGAAAGUCCUAGAUUCACUGCUACAAAAUAACAUGCACGCUUGGACCAUGUGAAAACAAUGUGUGCAACGAUGAAAGAAAAAAAAAUAACUCACCUCCAUUGUCAACAUUGCAGCUCCUGACUCCGUCAAUUGGGCUUGUCGGCACUG
rnacentral:lncRNA from 1 species